ACGGAUCAUUUUUAUCAAAUUAUUGAUUUAAAAACACACUUAUCUUUUUUAAUCAAAGAUAACAUCUCAUUGAAGGAAACAAGGAUUACGAGCAAACUGGGUUAAAAUCUUGUACAAGGCAAUGUUCAAGAAGUUAUUUAUUCCAAGGUUGAAACGAGAGAUUAAGAGCCAUCUAAGCUGAUCAGAUCUCAUUGCCAAUUAUGAGGGUGAGAGGAGACUCACACUGAUAAUCUUAGCUGGCAGACUAUUAGGGUGAGCAAAGAUGCCCUGAUGUGUAGCCGCCUAGCCAAUCCCUGCUUGCCUAGCAAGGGAUAUGUCAUUGCUUGCAUAACAAAAAAGUGAAGGAACUUAGGGGGGAGAGGCUAGUGCUUUCUUAUCUUAUGAUUUUAAUAUUACGGGGUUAUUGAACGUUUGUAUUAGAUUAAAGUUGUCAAUGCUUUUUUUUUUCAUAAAAAAAUCAUAACCGUUCAAUUUUUCAAACCAAUUUUUUGUUUCAUUCGCUACCUUCAAGUCUACGUUAUCAUAGUUUUUGUUCAUAUUUUUUUUUGUUUUUGUUUUGUGUAUUCUAUUUUUUCUAAAAUUAGUGGUGAUUUUAGUUUUUUUAGUUAUAUUCUAAUGUAUAUGUAAGAUUUGUAAAAAUAAGGGUGUUAUUAGAUCUAUUAAAAAUCGUUCUCGAAUGACUUAAUUAUGAUAGAGUAUAAUAAUGAUAUUUACAGAAUGGAAUUUGAGAUGAUGAUGAGGAGGAUAAAUUAUCUUAGACUUACCUUUUGUGCGUUAUUGAUGUUGUGGGUCUCUUGGGGCUAUUGGUAGUGGUUUAUUGGUUAACUAGAAUUCAUCGUUAAGUUGGUUUGAUAAUGACGAGGCUAGUAUGUAAUUUUUAAUGGUUUGGCCAAUGUGAUGCCUCUUUGGUUUGUUUAUGAAUUCAUCAGUGUCGCAAUUAUUGUCAAUUUGUUUUUCUCUUUCUUUUGGGAUUUUUUGUUAUGUGCCAUGUUUUUGUAUUCUUAUUAUUAAUGCUAG
rnacentral:lncRNA from 1 species